rnacentral:tRNA from 1 species
CCUGAUAGCAAGUAUUACUGUACUGUCUGCGGGGCUACAACCCGCCGCCUGACACUCGGCCAUACUACC